rnacentral:rRNA from 1 species
GGACUACAGGGGUAUCUAAUCCUGUUUGCUCCCCACGCUUUCGCGCCUCAGCGUCAGUUACUCCCCAGAUGACCGCCUUCGCCACUGGUGUUCCUCCUAAUAUCUACGCAUUUCACCGCUACACUAGGAAUUCCGUCAUCCUCUAAAGCACUCAAGAAAUAUAGUUUCGGAUGCAGUUUAUGGGUUGAGCCCAUAGAUUUCACACCCGACUUAUAUUCCCGCCUACACGCCCUUUACACCCAGUAAAUCCGGACAACGCUCGCCACCUACGUAUUACCGCGGCUGCUGGCAC